AUAAAUACAGCGAAUGGGAUAGUAGAAUAAGUUUUUCUAGCAUAGCGAUUUAGGGAUGGUGGGAGCCUAAUGUAGUGCCUUAUUUGAAGAUCACCCAGGAGUAGUUACACUGAAUUUAAAAGUAAGUGUAAACGUCCAUUCACGUUACGAAUCUCAAAGUGGUUAGCAAGUAAGAGCUGACUAUAAGGGUGGUACCGCGAGUCCUUCUCGUCCCUUCC
rnacentral:ncRNA from 1 species